rnacentral:rRNA from 1 species
CGAACGGGUGAGUAACGCGUGAAUAACCUGACUCAAAGAGGGGGAUAACAACGGGAAACUGUUGCUAAUACCGCAUGAGACCACAACACCGCAUGAUGAAGGGGUCAAAGAUUUAUCGCUUUGAGAGGGGUUCGCGUCCCAUUAGGUAGUUGGAGGGGUAACGGCCCACCAAGCCAACGAUGGGUAGCCGAGCUGAGAGGCUGAUCGGCCACACUGGAACUGAGACACGGUCCAG